CAAUUUUUAGCUGAACCCGGGAGUCCAUUCAUUCUUGUGCUUGUUUCGAUACUAUUAACAUGGAUUGGAUAUAUUGUAUUUUUUAAUGGUAGUUUAGAAAGUAACAAAAUCUUAACUUUUCACCUGUUUUAUUUAGAACGUGUAUAAAUGCAAAAACGUCUAUAGCGGUUCUUUAAGAAAUCGCUUACCCUCCCCCUCCUUCAGUCAGGUGAGGAGGGGGAGGGGUGUUAAGCUGCGCAGUUCUGCGUAGCAGUACUAGCAGAUGGCAGAACAAUGAAUGCUCCUGACGAUUUCAUAAGGUUUAACCUACCUCUCCUUCAGUCAGGUAAGGCCCCUCCUUACCUGACUGAAGCAGUUGGCAAAACAAUGAAUGCUCCUGACGAUUUUAUAAGGUUUACCUCUGCUCCUCGUGUUAUUAUCAUCUGACUUAAAGGGAUUGUGUCUAAAUCUCAGCAGCUGCAGAACGCGACUAAGAUGUCGUAAAAAGUACCCAACAAUAAGUACUUGAAACUUUUUUAAAGGUACUGAAUGUGUUAUUUUCUUUC